rnacentral:tRNA from 1 species
GGCUCGGUAGCUAAGUCGGUAAAGCACUUGAAUAAGGAUCGUGACCGUGAGUUAAAAUCUCACUCGAGCUG